GAGUCUUAAUUGGGCGUUAAGUUGCAGGGUAUAGACCCGAAACCCGGUGAUCUAGCCAUGGGCAGGUUGAAGGUUGGGUAACACUAACUGGAGGACCGAACCGACUAAUGUUGAAAAAUUAGCGGAUGACCUGUGGCUGGGGGUGAAAGGCCAAUCAAACCGGGAGAUAGCUGGUUCUCCCCGAAAGCUAUUUAGGUAGCGCCUCGUGAAUUCAUCUCCGGGGGUAGAGCACUGUUUCGGCUAGGGGGCCAUCCCGGCUUACCAACCCGAUGCAAACUGCGAAUACCGGAGAAUGUUAUCACGGGAGACACACGGCGGGUGCUAACGUCCGUCGUGAAGAGGGAAACAACCCAGACCGCCAGCUAAGGUCCCAAAGUCAUGGUUAAGUGGGAAACGAUGUGGGAAGGCCCAGACAGCCAGGAUGUUGGCUUAGAAGCAGCCAUCAUUUAAAGAAAGCGUAAUAGCUCACUGGUCGAGUCGGCCUGCGCGGAAGAUGUAACGGGGCUAAACCAUGCACCGAAGCUGCGGCAGCGACACUGUGUGUUGUUGGGUAGGGGAGCGUUCUGUAAGCCUGUGAAGGUGGCCUGUGAGGGUUGCUGGAGGUAUCAGAAGUGCGAAUGCUGACAUAAGUAACGAUAAAGCGGGUGAAAAGCCCGCUCGCCGGAAGACCAAGGGUUCCUGUCCAACGUUAAUCGGGGCAGGGUGAGUCGACCCCUAAGGCGAGGCCGAAAGGCGUAGUCGAUGGGAAACAGGUUAAUAUUCCUGUACUUGGUGUUACUGCGAAGGGGGGACGGAGAAGGCUAUGUUGGCCGGGCGACGGUUGUCCCGGUUUAAGCGUGUAGGUGUGUGUUCCAGGUAAAUCCGGUUCACUUUAACACUGAGGCGUGAUGACGAGGCACUACGGUGCUGAAGCAACAAAUGCCCUGCUUCCAGGAAAAGCCUCUAAGCAUCAGGUAACAUCAAAUCGUACCCCAAACCGACACAGGUGGUCAGGUAGAGAAUACCAAGGCGCUUGAGAGAACUCGGGUGAAGGAACUAGGCAAAAUGGUGCCGUAACUUCGGGAGAAGGCACGCUGACACGUAGGUGAAGUGAUUUACUCAUGGAGCUGAAGUCAGUCGAAGAUACCAGCUGGCUGCAACUGUUUAUUAAAAACACAGCACUGUGCAAACACGAAAGUGGACGUAUACGGUGUGACGCCUGCCCGGUGCCGGAAGGUUAAUUGAUGGGGUCAGCGCAAGCGAAGCUCCUGAUCGAAGCCCCGGUAAACGGCGGCCGUAACUAUAACGGUCCUAAGGUAGCGAAAUUCCUUGUCGGGUAAGUUCCGACCUGCACGAAUGGCGUAAUGAUGGCCAGGCUGUCUCCACCCGAGACUCAGUGAAAUUGAACUCGCUGUGAAGAUGCAGUGUACCCGCGGCAAGACGGAAAGACCCCGUGAACCUUUACUAUAGCUUGACACUGAACAUUGAGCCUUGAUGUGUAG
rnacentral:rRNA from 1 species